CACAAUUAACUGUUCCUUUCUCCAAAUUCUUUAGUAUUCAUCAACGUCUUCCGAUAACAGACUGAGAAGUGUCUGUCUUGUGUAUCUACCGCAGACACUAGUAUGUUGCACAGAGUAGUUGUGGGAAAUAAAGGAUCUUUCUAGUCGGGGUCUCUUCUCGCCCUCUGCAGUGCUCAGGGAUUCUGUCACUCUCCUCUCUCCAGGUCGGCUACCAUGCACUGCACCUGGUGUGCUCCUUCCAGGGGAACGGGACAGAAAGCUUCGAUCUCUCCUUCCUUGCUAGCUCCCCCGAUAGACUCUUUGUUGUCAAGGCUGUCUGCUAAUCGUUCCAAGAGAAACAGAUAGAAGGACCCAAUCCAGGAUCCACAUUCAUUUCUCCUUAUUCAUCUCCAAUCUGGGAAAUACUCGGACUCUUUGAAGAAUUGUACCGGCCAGGUUUACUUAUUUAUUUUGAGAGCGAGAGAAAUUGUGAAUGGAGGAGGGGCCGAGAGAGGGAGAGAGAGAGAGAGAGAGAGAAUCCCAAGCAGACUCUGCACUGUCAGCACAGAGCCAGAUGCGGGGCUCGAACCCACCAACCAUGAGAACGUGAUUGAGCCAAUGUCUGGAGCUUAACCAACUGAGCCAUCCAGACACCCCUGCAGCAACCUUAUGACCAUGAAGGACAGAUAAAGGCAUUGCUCUUUACGUCUUUAGACUGAAGAAGCAAAACCAAUAACCAUUGACUUUUGAACAUCUUGCUGUGUAGGAAUACAAAUCCAUGUUGGUGGAAGCCAUUGUAGCCGGAUUCCUCCUACCUUUGUGGCUAAAAUAUUCCUGACUCACACUCCAAUAGACCAGAGAAGCAAAAAUUGCUCUUUGAUCUAUUCAGGAAAGCUUCAUCGAGAAGGGAGAUUGCAAGAUCAUUUUUAUACCAGGAGAAAUGAAUGGAGAUACCUGCAUUAGAAGAAAUGGAAACUCCCACAAUUCAGUGCUGCUUUGGAUGCUGUUUGCUGGUGGGGAUAAGAGAAGCAAAAUCAAGGCAGCUCAUUUCUAGGCUAUGCCAAUGGACAGGGUGUGGGAAGGCCAGACACGAGUACGGUGACAAACACGUACUCGUAGGGCUUUGACAGCUGGAAAUAUGAAGGCCCAGUUCAUAAUGCGACUGGGAAACAUGGGAAUUAGGUGAAGAUAAGGCAGUAAGCAGGUCAGAAACAGAGGUACCGUAACGAUAAAAGGAAAACACUUCAGAAGCCACUGGAGACGUCAUGAAAUUUGAGGGCAUUUAGGGCAGAGCGGAAAGCUUAGUGCACAUGGGUUCAGAAAGUUGGAAUUCAGAGGUGCCUGGGUGGCUAAGUUGGUUGAGUGUCUGACUCUUGAUCUUAGCCCAGGUCAUGAUCUCAGUCUGUCAGUUCCAGUCCUGUCUUGGGCUCCACACUAGCAGCACAGAGCCUGCUGGGGAUUCUCUCUCCCUCUUUCUUUGCUCCUCCCUCCCUCCCUCUCUCUCUCUCAAAAAUAAAUACGGAAGCUUAAAGAAAGAGGUUGCAACUCAAACCUCGUUUCGCCUACAUACCAGUUGAAUAAAGUGGCCAAUUCAUGCUCUUUCGGAAUCUGUUUCCUCCCUCUCUGAUAAUAAAAAAAAUCGUAUUUCCUUUUGCGAGGUAGACACCUCAAGAGAGGUAUGAGAUGAUUACUCAGAUGGAGGACCAAGUUGUAGCCCAACUGCAGGGUGAUUUUGUGCAUGUCGUCCAUAAACGUGGAAGAGAGUUCUUUAAGCUGUAUUUUCCCUUUCACUGAGUCUCAACAAGAAGGGAUGAUUUCUAAUACAAGGUGCAUCUCCUUUCUCAGGGUUUUUCGUGUGCCGAGGUUUCGAUGGUGUUGAAGUAAAACCUCUGACUUUCUGCUCUCUUUCAGAAGCAAUGCCAGCAAAGUCCCUUUCACAUAAUCUUAGCAGGUUAGACCCCUAAUAGUUUUCAAGCCAAUAGUAGUUGAUGAAUGUUACCUUUUGGUCUUUUCACCUUUUUUAAUUGGGGAACCUUGUGUAACACUCUAUUUUUGGUUCUAGCACCUUCACUAGUAGGGGUUACAACUCAAAGCCAAACUCAUUCAGCCAACAGCCCUAAAAAUACUCUUGGUUUCUGCCAGUCAAUUUUCUUCUAUUUUCACAAUUAGUGGUUCUGCCUGGAAACUGCCUGCCAACAUGCAAAUCUCUUCCAAGGACUGAUGGAAAUCUGAGAAUGUGCUAAGCUGUGUAAGGUUUAAGAGCAACAUUAUUCAUUCACUAUUUGAAAUAUUUAAACACAUGUAAAUCAAAAAAAAAAAAAGGAUGAAAUCUCAUUAUAAGAAAUGAAUGGCUGCUUUCCACUCUUUCUACAAUAUAGUCUUGAUAUCCAUUUACAUGCCGUUUGUAAUAUUAAUAUUAUCGUAGUGAAAUAAAUCACAUCCUUCA